rnacentral:rRNA from 1 species
GGCCGCGGGAAUUCGAUUCAGGCCUAACACAUGCAAGUCGAACGGCAGCAUGAUCUAGCUUGCUAGAUUGAUGGCGAGUGGCGAACGGGUGAGUAAUACAUCGGAACGUGCCCUGUAGUGGGGGAUAACUAGUCGAAAGAUUAGCUAAUACCGCAUACGACCUGAGGGUGAAAGUGGGGGACCGCAAGGCCUCAUGCUAUAGGAGCGGCCGAUGUCUGAUUAGCUAGUUGGUGGGGUAAAGGCCCACCAAGGCGACGAUCAGUAGCUGGUCUGAGAGGACGAUCAGCCACACUGGGACUGAGACACGGCCCAGACUCCUACGGGAGGCAGCAGUGGGGAAUUUUGGACAAUGGGCGAAAGCCUGAUCCAGCAAAGCCGCGUGUGUGAAGAAGGCCUUCGGGUGUAAUUCAAAGGGUCCGGAAAGAAAUGGCUCUGGUUAAUACCGGGGUCG